ACGUCAGCGCUCACCUGGUCCAGGUGAGGAUCUGCCGGGACGGGGGAAGAGAGUCCAAGGGAUCGACAAGGGAGAAACGGGAUCGCGGGGAGUGGGCAGGGAUCGGAUUGCAGUCCGGAGCAGAGCGCGGGUCGCAGGAGGCGACCUCGGCGGGGCCUCGCCUCCCAGGAGCGUGUGUUAUGAUCCUUCAGCUUGAGCCAUGCAAGGUGCUCAGCGGAAAUCUCCGUCUCAGCAGACUGACCCGGCGGCGGUGGGGAGCCGCCACAGCUCCCCGGGCCUGCCGCCCCUCUCCGUGGACUCCCUGAGCCUGGAGGCCUACGACACGUCGACGCCGGAGCACAGGCGACCCCGGAGGAAGGGAAGCAACCGGCUGUUAAAAAGGCACGACCGCAAGGCCGGCCCCAGGGAUUCCAACGGGAAUAACUCGGAAAGCAUCGGGUUCAUCCCGCGGUCGGCUGAAGUUGUAGAGGACUCGAGCGUGUGCGAGUCGUGCGGCCUGGGGACUUGCGUCACGUGGCAGACCUUCAAAGCGGUGUUCUGCUGUGUGGUGACUUGUGGGAUCUGUAGGCUUGGCCCUGGGGGGUAUAAUCCGUGUACAAGGGCCACAGAGUCAUCGACGGAUGUUAAAACUACAGAGACUGCCAAUUUAAGAUACGUUUCAAACCCAACACAUGGGGUCACUCUGAGCCCUGACCCCAACCCCAGUAAAAGGACCAACCUGGCAGGCAACAGUUUCAAUUAUUACGAUAUCAAGCUGCGAGGGGAAGAGGUGAUCUGGGACAAGAACAGGCACAGUCUGUCCACAGACUCGUGCCGCAAGGACUCGCAUGUCAGUAACUCUCAGAAGUCGGAGAGCCCCGGCAGCACCUCACCGAAUUCUCACAAGCGGCUGUCCGAUGAGUUCCACUCCUUCCUGGAGGAGGAUCUGGAGAGCAACGAACUGAACGGCUCGAUGUCCAGCGCCGAGCUGGACGAGUACAUCAACAAGAAGCUGCUGGAGCUGUUCAGCAUUCACCAGAUUGACAUGCUGGCCCAGUGCACGUCUGACACCACCUUCAUCAGCAAGAGCAGCGAGAUCAGCGAGCUCAUCGACAGCAUCACCAAAGGCUACAAGAUCAACGAGAAAGACGCUGAGUGUCGGAUCGUGACCGGCAUAGUCCGGAUCAGCACCAGGAAACCCAAAAAGAAGCGUAGCCCACAAGAGCCGAGUGAGGAGAGGCUGGUUAGCCUCACCUCCACCGAUGCCAAACCUCAGGCAGAGACUUUUCUGCCCAGUGAUGACCUCAACCUGGAGAUUUCAGUCGUAGACCCGCUCGAUUUGAAGGCAAGGCAAAUGCAGGGUUUGGCCAGCCCAGAAUUGCGGAAAGACGAAUCUCUUCAGGACACCGAGACCGAUUCUUCAGGAGCUCCGCUGCUCAAAGUCUACAUCUAGGAUCAGAGGGCAGAUUGAUCAGAGGGCAUGACGGGUGGAUCCAGGAGAGUCGAGUGGAACACAUGGAGCUGAAUCCCUUCCUCUCUGGGUCUUGGCUGUUUUCAAGGUUGUGUUGUUCUCUCCCUCCCGCUGACACCUUCGGGACUUUCACUAGUUCUGGGUACAGUCUCCAAUUGCCGGAGUUUGCUACGACUGGCCUUUAAUACAACCAUUCUUCUACUCCUUUGCACCCUACUCCAACCUUCACCAUCUCUCCCCCCCCCCAACCACCCACCCUGAAGAUGAGGAGUCCUACCUUGGUGCAGGAGAUCUAGAGUCAGUGGACUGGAAUGAAGAGAUAGGACCCACCACGCUUAGUGAGUGGGCACAGGAUCUUUCACCAGGGUAAUGGUGACGAGAUAUCUGCUCUGGAAGCAGCUUCCAAGGAAUGGAUGAUUCACCUGUUCCAGCAUCUUGCUCUAAACAUUUGUAGACAGAAGGCACAGCAAGAACAGGCUGAUAGAGGAUGCAUGUCUUACAAAUGUUGAAUUUAAGGUCAGUUCUUCUGUAUCCUUCACUGAGUGGAUUGAUGGUAGUUUGGAACUUAGCCUCUGAGUGCUCCUUUGCAUACUGCAGACUGACUAAGGUUCAGGCAGGUAUCACUCCUGUACAUUGCAGUUUCCCGAAAGUUCUAAAGAUUAGCAUUAUUCCUGGCAGGCUGUUGGAGGUGAGGUGCAAUAUUGGAGAAUGACAUUUGAGUGCCAGUAUUUGAAGCGGUGGCAAGUGAUGUUAUGUACAAUGAGGCAGCAUGCUCUUCUUCAUCUUCACUUUCCUGGUCUCCUGCUUCUCUUUCAAACUUGGUUGUUGAAAUUGUGGUGAUAGUGGCGAAGGGGCAGAUUCCCUUUGUAAUCUCCAAAGACAUGACACAAUAUGGAGCAAUGGAUUAGCAAGAGAUGCAGAUUAAGACAAUGGACAGCAGUCAGGGACUGUACAGAAACACAUACAUUAGAAUAUUCAAGGCAAUGUCAACUUCAUUAAAGUACUGGUAAAUAAGAUUAGCAUUGAUGGGUCCAUAGACAUGAUGGAUUGAGUGGGCUGUUUCUAUGCUUUAUAAUUUUGGCUCUAUUAUUAAGAAAAGCUUGGACCAAUAAUGAACCUUGUUGGACACUGGUUGACAUUGGCUCUGGCUUGUUUCACAUCCUAAUGUUCCUACCUUCAACGGAAGAUGGAAGUGAAAUUCUGUGGGCAGCUGAAUUUGAGAAAGUCAUAGGCUUUAGUGAAGCUGGAAGAGGCCAUGUAUCUCCCACCAAAGGUCACAUCCAUUGUUCCUCUAAGUCAUGGAGCACUACAACACAGAAACAAACCCUUGGACUAUAGCCUUCCGGGUGGAAUCCUUGUGACACAUUUCAGUCAAGGCAGUUAAGGAGGAACCUGCCCACAUCUUUCCCCUUUGCAGACAACAGGGAGACAUUUCUAUAGUUACUACUGUCAGAUUUGUCUCUUUAUGAAGAUGAUUGUGCUUACCAUAUCUCUGCAGAUAGUGAGAUUGUUGAUUUCCGACAAACUUAGUUUUAGAAUUUAAGGAGGGAUAUUGCCUGAGGCUUUCUUAAUUUUUAUCUUUCCAAUUUGUUGGUCAGGAGCAGCAGUAAAGGAGUUGCUGUGGGGGGAAGAGUAUUUGUGUCAAGAAAUGCAGUGCAAUUAGCCUUCAAACAAGUUCAGUAAAGUGGGUAUUGACUAUCUGAUUGUGCAGGGGGCUUGGUAUCUUGUCUCUAGUCAGCUUUUACCAACAUAAUAAUUGUCAGCACAUUACUGACUCUUCCACCCUCUAUCAAUAGGUUAUAGAUUUUCUGAUUAACCUUUGAUUUUGUGUGUCGACCUGUUUCUGUUCCCUUGACGAAUAGUAGACUUUGGCAAUCCAGCACCCUUGGAACUGUGGUUGUAUCAGACUGACAGAUUUUUGAACUCUUGGAUAUUACUCCUAAUACACACCGUACUCAUAAUUCACUUCUUAAAAAUUUUUCCAGUUAUCUAAAUGAGUUUUAAAAUAGGCUUCCAAACAAUAGGAUGGAUUAUCAGAAUUUUACUGUAAUCAUUUACACUAGCACCCUACAUGCAUGCACACACAGAAUUUCAAUGGUGGGUAGGCUACUGCCCAGACAUACCCUUCAUCUGUCAUGUUGUAAGUAAAAUGUACACCACAUCCUACAACACAGCAAAAGAAAACUUUUAUGUAGUUUGAUUCUUCACUUAACAUUCUUAGUUGGAGCAAAGAUUCCCUAAGUGAGUGUUUGCUAAUCCACAUAUGUACGAAAGGGUGCAAUUCACAACAUAGGAGGACAAAAGCCCAGCAGAGGUUACAAAAGCUAUUCUGGGAAUGAAAGAGUCAACCUACAAGGAGUGUUUGAUGGCUCUGGGCCUGUAUUCACUGGAGUUCAGUAGAAUGAGAGAGAACCUCAUCAAAAACUACUAAAUAUUGAAAAGCCUCAAGCAGGGGCUCCCAACCUUUGUAUGACAUGGACCCCUAUCAUAAACCAAGGGAUCUAUGAAUGCUUGGUUGGAACCCCUGGCCUAGGUAGUGGAAUGUGGAGAGAAUGUUUCCAAUAGUGAAAGAGUCUAUGACCAGAGGGCACAGCUCAGAAUUCAAGGCUGUCUCAUUAGAACAGAAGAACUCUUUUAGCCAGAAGGGAGUAAACCUGUGGAAUUCAUUGCCAAAGAUGGCUGUGAAGGCCAAUUCAGUGGGUAUAUUUAAAGCGGAGGUUGAUAGUUUAUUGAUUAGUAAGGGCGUCAGAAGUUACAGGGAGAAGGCAAGAGAAUAUGGUUCAGAGGGAAAAUAAAUCAGCCAUGAUUGAAUGGUGGAGUAGAUUCAAUUACCUGAGUGGGCUAAUUCUGUUCCUAUAUCUUAUGCCCGAUACUAAAGUUGAAAAAGGACAAGAGAAAUUAACAAAACCAGAGAUUGAAAUAAUUAAAAUAUUAUCUAAAAUGGACUGGAACUAGGUAAUGGCUUUAACCUCUCCCAUUUAACUUGAUGGAAAUCAUGCUCCUGUAAUGCUGUCUUUAAAGACAAAUCAGAGGUCUCAGAGGCUGCCUGUCAUUGGUGAAGUCUUCAUGUAUCCCAGUUGGGGAUCAACUGUUUUAACCUGUUUCCACUGAAACAUAGGUGGUUAAAAACUAACACCCUGCCAGAUUUUUAUUUUAUUUAGAGAUACAGCACAGAAUAGGCCCUUCUAGCCCCUUAAGCAACGUGACCCAACAACUCCCGAUUUAACCCUAGCCCAAUCAUGGGACAAUUUGCAAUGGCCAAUUAACCGACCAUAUUGUAUGUCUCUGGACCGAGGAUGGAAACUGGAGGACCCAAAGAAAAUCCAUGCAUUCAAACGGGGAGUCGUAAAGAGGCUCCUUACGCAGGCCAUUGGAAUUGAACUCUGACCCCUGACCCCCCCCCCACUGAGCUGUAAUAGCGUUGCACUAACCACAACGCCACCGUGGCACCCCAAUC